rnacentral:lncRNA from 1 species
AGAGGCCGUCCUGUAGCCGGGCCGGCUUGGGGCUUGGUUCUAUGUCCCUGCGGGUCGGUGCAAGGGCGAAGAGGAACCCGUGGGCCUCAGGGGAUCCCGGGGGGCCGGACCAGUGUUCCCUAGUUGUGGGAGCAGACGCGUGGGCACAUUGCGGGCGGGCAGGGCCUGAAGUGCAGCUAUGUUUCCAGUGUCCUCUGGGUGUUUCCAAGAGCAACAAGAAAUGAAUAAAUCUCUGUUGAAGAGAUACCAUUUGACAUUUUAGAGAUGGCUGCAUGCAAACUCUUGAAACAUUUGACCACCCUCCAGGGUGCCCCGACUCACUUUCCCUGCAGAUGGAGGCAAGGAGGCUCCACAGACAACCCCCCUGCCUGAGGUCACAUAGUGGCCAGCAGGCCAGAACAAAGAAGAGAAUAAGAAAAUAAUCAUCUGGUAACCAUCAUAGUAAUAAUUGUUCAAACACAAGUCAUCCAUGAAAUGCUAAAUCUAGUGGGUUCUGAGGAGUAACCAGAUAUUUACAGAGCCUCAAAGUAUCUCCAUACAAAAUACGGUUGAACUACAAAAAGAAAAUUGUAACAUUAGCAUGGACAAACCUGGCAGGUACUCCUUAACUCUCCUAAGUAAUAAAAACUGUAAAAUGCAAAUAAGCCUUCGAUGACCUUUACUAACCUUUACUAAAGUAUCAGUGAUGACUUGGUUGUUUAAACAGCUGACAUUUGGGCAAUUUGAGUAUGUCAAACUCAAUAAUACUGGUUUUCAUUUGCAAGAUCCACUUAAAACUUAAGGAGGCCAAAAAACAUCAUUUAAAAUACCCUAUAAAUUAUAAUCAUACAUAUGAUACAAAAAUAUCCUACUUCAGUAAAUAUUGGAAUGUUAUAUAUUUUAUGAGAAACAAUUAAAAUGUGUAAAUAGCCCAGUAAUAAAGUUUUAUAAUCUUUUAAAUCA